rnacentral:rRNA from 1 species
CGGGACGGGGUGAGUAAUGUCUGGGAAACUGCCUGAUGGAGGGGGGUAACUACUGGAAACGGUAGCUAAUACCGCAUAACGUCGCAAGACCAAAGAGGGGGACCUUCGGGCCUCUUGCCAUCGGAUGUGCCCAGAUGGGAUUAGCUAGUAGGUGGGGUAAAGGCUCACCUAGGCGACGAUCCCUAGCUGGUCUGAGAGGAUGACCAGCCACACUGGAACUGAGACACGGUCCAG